rnacentral:rRNA from 1 species
AACGAACGCUGGCGGCAUGCCUAACACAUGCAAGUCGAACGAUCCCUUCGGGGAUAGUGGCGCACGGGUGCGUAACGCGUGGGAACCUGCCCUUAGGUUCGGAAUAACUCAGAGAAAUUUGAGCUAAUACCGGAUAAUGUCUUCGGACCAAAGAUUUAUCGCCUUUGGAUGGGCCCGCGUUGGAUUAGCUAGUUGGUGGGGUAAAGGCCUACCAAGGCGACGAUCCAUAGCUGGUCUGAGAGGAUGAUCAGCCACACUGGGACUGAGACACGGCCCAGACUCCUACGGGAGGCAGCAGUGGGGAAUAUUGGACAAUGGGCGAAAGCCUGAUCCAGCCAUGCCGCGUGAGUGAUGAAGGCCUUAGGGUUGUAAAGCUCUUUUACCCGGGAUGAUAAUGACAGUACCGGGAGAAUAAGCCCCGGCUAACUCCGUG